rnacentral:rRNA from 1 species
CACGCCGCGGUAAUACGAAGGGGGCUAGCGUUGUUCGGAAUUACUGGGCGUAAAGCGCACGUAGGCGGAUAUUUAAGUCAGGGGUGAAAUCCCAGAGCUCAACUCUGGAACUGCCUCUAAUACUGUGUUGCUUGAGGGAGAACGGGGCAUUCGGAACUUCCGGUGGAGCGGUGAAAUGUGUUGAUAUCGGAAGGAACGCCGGUGGCGAAAGCAGAAUGCUGGGUCUCUUCUGACGCUGAGGUGCGAAAGCUAGGGUAGCGAACGGGAUUAGAUACCCCCGUAGUCCCUGUCUCUUAUACAC